UUUAUUUUUUUCUCCCCUUUCUUUCUUUCUUUCUUUAUCAACCAGUAACUCUUCCCUAUUUUCCAUUUUUUCUUCAGUUAUCUUUUUUUUCCCCUUCCCUCCCUUCCCUGGUGAUUCGCUUCUUCCCCUCUCCCCUUAAUCAAUUCCUAGUUUUUUUCCUUCUUUCUCAACCCAUAGCUUUCUUUUUUUUUUAAUUCUUUUUUUUAAUUAUCUUCAUUUUUUCCCUUCCCUCCCUUCCCUGGUGAUUCACUCCUUCCCCCCUUCAAUCAAUUCCUCAGUUAUUUUUUUCUCCCUUUUAUUUCUCUCUCAACCCUUAACUUUACUUUUUUUUUUUAAAUAUCUUUUUUUCUUCUCCCCUGGUGAUUCGCUCCCACCCCUCCCCUUAAUCAAUUCCCCGUUUUUUUUCUCCUCUUUCCUUUCUUUCCCUUUCUUCUUCAAUCAUCCUUUUUUUCCCUUCCCUCCCUGCCCUGGUUAUAAGAAUUCUCCCUUUCAUCUUGGUAACGUCCUUCCAACUUUCCUCUCUUGGUCCUCUUUUUUUCAUUCCCUUAAUAAGACACGGGUUCCUCCCUCCCUUUUCCCCUCUAAUUUAUUGCCAUUCCCCCCCUUGCAUCCUCCCCUUUCUCCCAUUAAUUAAGAGGCCUUCCCCUUCCCAUACUUAAUCAUGCGGCUAUUUUUUCUUCCCAUCCCUGCCCUUCCAAACCUUUCCUACCACCACUCUUCAUCUUCACUGCAAGGGGAAAUGGCUGCCGUGAAGCUGAAGGAAGUGGUGAAAGCUUGGAGAUGAUUAAGAAAGCUUGCACUAAGAAGAUGGAUGAAAAAAGAAGGGGGGUUAUAACAUUUAUUUUCUCCCCUUCCUUUCUUUCUCAACCCCUAACUUUCCUUUUUUUCCUUUUUUCUUCAGUUAUCUUUUUUUUCCUUUUCUUUUCCUUUCCUUACCAGUCUUCCCUCCUUCCCCCAGACUGUAAUAUUAUAAUGUGUUUUUCAUACGUCCAUGCCUCCUCUUUCUCCUCCACCUCCUCUCCUUUCUUAUAUAGUUUAAAAUACGCCUAACCGAGGUGCCUCAUACCAAAAUUUCGUUGCUUGAUCAUUUUAUUUUGUGAAAUCAAAGUUUCCAGAAAAACUUAGACCAUACAUUCUAGAAUGGAACAUAUUUUUUUGUCAUAGAUAUAUAUUAAUAAUAAAAACAAGACAUCUACGUUCACUACAGUUCAUAGACGAUAUUUUUAAGUUAUAAUAUCUUUACAAUACUUGAAAAUAUUGAAUCAGGUUGUUAACUUACGUGUCUAAAAGUCUACUGUACAUGUUUGUUUGUGUACACCUCUCCUGUGUGUGUGUGUGUGUGUGUGUAGGUAGGUAGGUAGGUAGGUGUGUGUGUGUGUGUGUGUGUGUGUGUGUGUGUAGGCAGGACGGGUGUACCAUAAAACAGCUGUGCAAUGAAUGACGUAAUAAUGACGUAAUGGUCUUCUCAAAAGGCCUCCACUGAGCAACAAAUAAUGAUAAUAAAAAUAAUAAUGUAUGAAAUAAAUAUUGCACAUUCUAAAUAACAUGCAUAAAACUGUAUUAUUAUUUUGUCAGUCAUAUGACCGAAUAAGUGUGUGUGUGUGUGUGUUGUGUAUGUGUGUGUGUGUGUGUGUGUGUGUGUGUGUGUGUGUGUGAAGAGAAGGUCUGUCGUAAAAAUGUUGGCAUCUUAAUCAUCCUCAACAAUCACGUAAUCAUCGUCAUCGUAAUACUCACUCGUAAUCAUAAUCAACGUGUCGUCUGUGUCACUAGCAAGUCACUCGUGUGCAUGUUACUCUCACACUCUGCUCGACGAAUAUGUACACGGCUACGACACACACACACACACACACACACACACACACACACACACACACACACACACACAAACA